CAAUUUCAGAACCCCUCAUUCGUCUCUAACACCCCUAACCCCAAAACCCUAGCCGCCCCUAAAUUCCUCACCGUCUCCGCCGUGGUCCGCCGGCCGGAACUCGCCUCAUGGCGGCGGACCACCUCCAAACCUCCCCAAAUUAACACCCCAGAACCCCCGUCGUCUCCUCUUCACAAAUCUCCAAACUAAUUCCCUCGAAUCAUCACUAAACGGCUCGAAUCUUUAAUCUAAAAUCGAUGCCUCAAAAUCCUAAGCGUUCCAAAUGGCCCCAAAUUCACCCCUCAUAACCCCGACACCUCUCUGAACCCUAAACCAUCACUAGCCCCCUUCGAAUCAUCCCCAUCCUUGUCGAAUUUUAAAUCCAAGAUUCUGGAACCUUAAUUUUCUUUCACCUCCAAAUUUCCGGCAAUUUUUAGAGGUUUUGAACCCAAGACUUCCAUGAGUCCAUUGCUCUUGAUAAGAGCAGUGGAUUGAUGGUUCUCUAAAAGUCAUUUUACCCCGGAGAACUUGGGUCAAAAUCCGAAGUCGAUCCAGUUUUAUUAGAUGAUUAAGUUUAGGUAAAAUUUUCUUUCUUUUUUUCUGUUUGUUUUAUUUUCUUUGCAUGUUCAUGGCCGCAUGAUUUAGUUUGGAAAUUUUAGGUUCUCUUUCCUUUUGAUUCACGGCUCCUUAGUUUCAUUUUUUUUUGUUUAUUAGAUUAAUUAAAAGCAUGCUGAAUCUCGCAAUUAGUUAAGUUUGGUUCCAAUUGCAUGAAUUUAGUUUGACUAGGGUUCAUUUUUUUUAGUUUGGUACCUCAAAUGAUUACUCUGUUCUUUUUCCAUAAUUUCAUCUCCUGUUUAUGUUCAGCUUUGUUUUAGGCUAAUUAACAGUUUGUCUAGUCUGUUUGUUUAAGCUGAUAAAAUUGAUUGUUUUAAUUAUUUAAGUUUGCAAAUUGAGUGAGUUAAAUCCUAGGUUUUCUUUGCAUUUGUAUUUUUUUAUCUUUUUUCUGAUCACUAUCUAGCUACAUUAAUCAUUGAACUUUAAGUUUGGUUUAGGUUUAAUUUAGAUAAAUAUUUUAUCUACCAAUUAGAUUAAUUUUAAUUCCAAUGGCAUCAUCUCUUUUAUCUUGUUUUCUGUUGACAUCUUUUAAUUUGCAUUUCUGACUUGCUGAUAGAUUUUGUUCUUGUUUUCCCUAGUCUGUAAAUCAUUAGGACUUGUAGGGACUUAAAGGACAAAGUUGAAAUAGGCAGUAAUUAAAGGGGUAAAAUGGACUUUUAUAUAGGCUAAAUAUAAGAAUAUUCAAGACUUUUCACAGUUGUCCCUAUCCUUAGCAUAAAAAUGUUGGUAUUGGAUAAGAAAAAGAACAGACAGUUGUAAAAGAUGUUGUACCACCCUGAAAUUUCAGAAUUCUAGAUUAGAAUAUGCUUUUUGAUGCCUUUUUGUGCAUUCUAUAAAAGGAAAACAUUCCCUCACUCACACACACACACACACACAUUGAGCAUCAUUUUCUGCCUAAAAAGUUCUGAAAAACACAUCAGAGAUCCAGACCUUAAAAAGACUAAAAGUUUCUACAUUGUUUUGAUUAGAAAUUGGUCGAAAUUGUUCCUUGGUUUCCCUAGUAGCAAGAACUGAAAAGCUUUCAUAGGAUUUCAAUUUCUUUUGGAUUUUAAAAGAGUUCAAAGAAGCUGAAAACCUGAUGUUGAUUGCUACUGUUUCAUCCUCAUUUAUGAUGAAGCUUUAUUUCUAUUUUUCUUUGUCGUUUCAGGUAUGUCCUGAACUUUGAAAGUGCAGAAAAAAUGAAGUUGUAGCUCAUUGCUUGUUAAAUGAAAAAUGCAUGUUCUUCACUUCGAAUUGCUGCCUAAAAUGUUCAUCUUGUAACUUCUUCUGCAGUUUUUCCUUUUAUUAUUAAGCAUAUUAUCAUUGUUAGGACAGUAUUCAUAACCUAAAAGUUCAAAUCAAGUGAUGUAUUUUAUUGAGCAUUUCAUUAAACACUUAAAUGUAUAAAGUGGACUGACAGGCUGUGUUUGUAAAUUCCAGCCUAUACUUUGUGCAAUAGUUUGAUGUUGGUUUACAAUUAAUGUAUUUAAUUAGU
rnacentral:lncRNA from 1 species